CAUGAAGUCGGAAUUGCUAGUAAUCGCGGAUCAGCAUGCCGCGGUGAAUACGUUCCCGGGCCUUGUACACACCGCCCGCCACACCAUGGGAGCCGGUAAUACCCGAAGUCAGUAGUCCAACCUCGUGAGGACGCUGCCGAAGGUAGGAUUGGCGACUGGGGUGAAGUCGUAACAAGGUACC
rnacentral:rRNA from 1 species